AACGAACGCUGGCGGCAUGCCUAACACAUGCAAGUCGAACGAGACCUUCGGGUCUAGUGGCGCACGGGUGCGUAACGCGUGGGAAUCUACCCUUGGGUUCGGAAUAACUCAGAGAAAUUUGAGCUAAUACCGGAUGAUGACGUAAGUCCAAAGAUUUAUCGCCCAAGGAUGAGCCCGCGUAGGAUUAGCUAGUUGGUGAGGUAAAGGCUCACCAAGGCGACGAUCCUUAGCUGGUCUGAGAGGAUGAUCAGCCACACUGGGACUGAGACACGGCCCAGACUCCUACGGGAGGCAGCAGUGGGGAAUAUUGGACAAUGGGCGAAAGCCUGAUCCAGCAAUGCCGCGUGAGUGAUGAAGGCCUUAGGGUUGUAAAGCUCUUUUACCCGGGAUGAUAAUGACAGUACCGGGAGAAUAAGCCCCGGCUAACUCCGUGCCAGCAGCCGCGGUAAUACGGAGGGGGCUAGCGUUGUUCGGAAUUACUGGGCGUAAAGCGCACGUAGGCGGCUUUGUAAGUUAGAGGUGAAAGCCUGGAGCUCAACUCCAGAACUGCCUUUAAGACUGCAUCGCUUGAAUCCAGGAGAGGUGAGUGGAAUUCCGAGUGUAGAGGUGAAAUUCGUAGAUAUUCGGAAGAACACCAGUGGCGAAGGCGGCUCACUGGACUGGUAUUGACGCUGAGGUGCGAAAGCGUGGGGAGCAAACAGG
rnacentral:rRNA from 1 species